CCGGGCGACCGGCGCACGGGUGAGUAACACGUAUGCAACCUGGCCGUGACAGAUGGAUAACCGGGAGAAAUCCCGCCUAAUACAGCAUGACGCCGGGAAGGGACAUCCCUUUCCGGCCAAAGGGGGCGACUCCGGUCACGGAUGGGCAUGCGGCGCAUUAGGUAGUUGGUGGGGCAACGGCCCACCAAGCCGACGAUGCGUAGGGGUUCUGAGAGGAAGGUCCCCCACAUUGGAACUGAGACACGGUCCAAACUCCUACGGAAGGCAGCAG
rnacentral:rRNA from 1 species